UACAGAGGGUGCAAGCGUUGUUCGGAAUUAUUGGGCGUAAAGCGCGUGUAGGCGGCUUGGCAAGUCGGGUAUGAAAGCCCUCAGCUCAACUGAGGAAGUGCGCCCGAAACUGCUUUGCUUGAGUGCUGGAGAGGGUCGCGGAAUUCCCCAAGUAGAGGUGAAAUUCGUAGAUAUGGGGAGGAACACCGGUGGCGAAGGCGGCGACCUGGACAGUGACUGACGCUGAGACGCGAAAGCGUGGGUAGCAAACAGG
rnacentral:rRNA from 1 species